rnacentral:rRNA from 1 species
AACGAACGCUGGCGGCAUGCCUAACACAUGCAAGUCGAACGAGACCUUCGGGUCUAGUGGCGCACGGGUGCGUAACGCGUGGGAACCUGCCCUUAGGUUCGGAAUAACUCCCCGAAAGGGGUGCUAAUACCGGAUAAUGUCUUCGGACCAAAGAUUUAUCGCCUUUGGAUGGGCCCGCGUUGGAUUAGCUAGUUGGUAGGGUAAAAGCCUACCAAGGCGACGAUCCAUAGCUGGUCUGAGAGGAUGAUCAGCCACACUGGGACUGAGACACGGCCCAGACUAAGACGGUACGGGGCGGGGGGGAGGAGGGGAGAAGGGGGGAGUGUUUGAACCAGUAAUGACGCGUGAGGAAAGAAGGCGGCAGGGGGGAAAAGCCACAGGACCAGGGAGGAGCAGGAGCGGGGGGGGUGAAGGAGCGCGCGCCCAAGCAGGG